GUCCCAAGUUGUCAACAAGUUUGGAACAAGCUUGAUGGCAUUAUCAAACUUGUUGCAAGGUUGUUCCAACAUGUCUGAUAUAGUCAUGAUAAUGAUAUAACAAUAUUGUUACAACCUUGUCCGUAUCAGACUUGUUAGAACAAGCACGAUAAUGCCAUCAAGCUUGUUACAAGUUGUUAACAGCUUGUUCC